UCACCGAGGUAUAAGCGCAGGGGUGGGACCAGGAACUUAGCUUCCGGUGGCAGGGUCUGGGGAAGGGGCGGCAGGCGCCAUGUCCGGCCGCGAAGGUGGCAAGAAGAAGCCCCUGAAGCAGCCCAAGAAGCAGGCCAAGGAGAUGGACGAGACAAGGCAUUCAAGCAGAAGCAAAAAGAGGAGCAGAAGAAACUUGAGGAGCUGAAAGCGAAGGCCGCGGGGAAGGGCCCCUUGGCCACAGGUGGAAUUAAGAAAUCUGGAAAAAAGUGAGCUGUCCUUAUGCCUGG